CCGUUGCCGGCGACCGGCGCACGGGUGAGUAACACGUAUGCAACCUGCCCGUGGCAGGGGGGAGUAAGCGGGGGAAACCCCGUCUAAUACCGCGUAACGCGGCCUUGGGGCAUCCCAAGGCCGCCAAAGGGAGCAAUCCCGGCCACGGAUGGGCAUGCGGCGCAUUAGCUAGUCGGCGGGGUAACGGCCCACCGAGGCGACGAUGCGUAGGGGUUCUGAGAGGAAGGCCCCCCACACUGGUACUGAGACACGGUCCAAACUCCUACGGGAGGCAGCAG
rnacentral:rRNA from 1 species